CCGCGUUCUCGAGGAUUUGCAGUCAAUGGUCGUAGCUUUUUUUCUCCGUCCACACAGCUGAAAAGUGAGCUCGGGAAGAAGUUGCUGCCAUCAAUUUUCAACGUGCGUAAGCCGUCGGCAUCGUCUACGCGUGUCGAUCGGCGUCGGAUCAGCCAGAAACAGCGGUGUGGCCGAAGGCGAAC